GCUCACUUUGGCAGCACAUGUACAGAGAAGAUUAGCGUGGCUCCUGCGCAAGGAGGACACUCACAUUUGUAAAGCAUUCCAUACUUCU
rnacentral:snRNA from 1 species